rnacentral:lncRNA from 1 species
GUUAUUUUAUGUAUUUUAUUAAGACAAAUCUUAUGAAAUUAUUUUUUAGGAUAUUCGUGUAUUACUUGUGGAAAAAAAUACAGGCACAAAAGGUCAUUGAACUCUCAUAUUAGAAUUGAAUGCCAGAAAGAACCUACAUUUCGUUGCUCAAUCUGCCCCUAUAAAGCGAAGUACAAGCGAUCUUUAGCUAAACAUAUGGCGAAUAUUCACAACCCUGACAAGAUAAUAAAUUCACUUCUACAAUGAUGGAAAAAAACUUCCAGCGGGCGCGCCCUUUAAUUUCACAUGAGUGGGUUUUAACUUUCCAUGUGAAACAUGUAAUAAAAUAUAUAGCCAUCGAAGCAGUUUAAGAGCACACUUAAAAUACGAGUGUCAGAAAGAGCCUCAAUUUACAUGUUCUAUAUGUUAUUCUCGAUUCUCAGUUAGAAGUAAUCUGAGACGCCAUUUAAAAAAUAAACACUGAUAGUAAAGAUAUUCACAGAUAUUUUGAUUUUGAAUAUGUAUAGAUUUAAUAAAACUAUUUAUUUUUA